ACUAAACUAGUCAGGUUCCAAACGUGGCUAAAAGCUUCGAAACGCAAUUGUGAAUCUGACGCUUCAUUGUCCAACAUCUGCUUAUCCAUGGCGGUGCGAUCGGGAGGCGCCAAAGUCCAUGUAAGACUGCAAAUAUCAGUUGGUUGAAGUCCGUACCCAAAGUCGUUCCCUAAACCGCAAGGCUAUUUGUUUGAGGGGCACAAUUGGCCAUGUUCAACCAUCUCUGAGACACCUCCCGAGGACAAUGCUGGCAGAGCAAUAUUAAUGGAUACCCUCCAGGAUUGGAAGACUGAAAGAUACAAGGAAAUUAUCAAAUCUGAAACUGUGGAGCCCAGACCUAGAGUUUUGAGAUUGAUGGAUGAGGCCAAGGCUGCUGUAAGAUAGACAUUUACCUUAUAAAUGCAAUCGUCACUUUGUCAUGGCUCUUGAGUUUUUCGUUGUAUUUGCAUAUGUUAUCCACAGUUAAUUAGGUGUCUUGUGUUCAAAAUGUAUUAGAUUCAUUAAUUCUGGCAUUGUUGGCUGAUAAAAAUCGGAAGUUCAUUUUCGUUGAACAGGCAUUUUUCCAGCGAUGGUGGAGGGACCAGAGCGAGGGAGUCUAGAGUAUAACCAAGCAGUUUGUUAGCACAGGCCAUAAAUGGUGGUUGCUGCAUGGAUGAUGAGGUGGCCUCACAUUAUAUUGACAUGAUAGAUCAGACUACACUUGGGCACUGGUUUAUCGAAGAGAAGUUCACUGUGACUCCAAGAGUUGGUUGGCGGAUUGAUCUCUUUGGUCAUUCUGCAGUGCAGGCUUACCUUUUGGGGGCAGAGGUUGGAUUUGACUCUUUUUUCUUCGGCCAAAUUGACUACCAAGACAGAGAUAAGCGAAAAAAUGAGAAGAGCCAUGAGGUUGUCUGGCAGGGCUCUAAGAGUUUUGGUUCAUCUGCACAGGUGAGUGACUCAUUGAUAUUUGUAGCACAAACUGCUCAGCCUAUAAAUGGCUCAAUUUUCGUUGCUCUCACCAUAUUGUUUGGCCUCCACCGCAAGUCGAAGCUUAUUAUUGCUUUGUGAGGUAACCCCACCCCCUUCUCUCUCUCUCUCUCUCUCUCAUUGAAUCUAUGAACUUCGAGAAGAGAAACUCUUUGCAAGCUUUAACGAAUAUGCAUAUACUGUAAUACAAAUUAUGAGGUACGUACUGAUGUGCAUACAUAUGUAUAUGUUGAAAAGUCGUAUAUACAUGUUUGAUCUGAUGAAUUGAGAAAUUUUAUAUUGUUUUUUCAUAUUUUCAAUCGCUUAUACACGUAAUUGAAAAUCUACUCGAAUUGGAGUUCACAUCAUUGCCAUUGGCAUCUACUACCAUUUUAUCUUGAGAUCAAACAACUCACAAACUCUUUCUAAGGUAGUUAAGACAACUUCAACCUGAAUCUAGAACACAUUUGCAAUAAAUCUAUUCGAGUUCGUAGUUUGAGAUUCUAGAGGUCCUUCGGUUCCAAAUUUGCGAUUACCGUAGCUAAUUCAGUGAAUUAUGACCAGGUCUUUGUGAAUUCUAUUAUCCAUUUGACCUGUGAUUCAUUAUAAACAGCGAGUUUUUGCAGUUUUUUAUUUUUGAAAUGUUUCUUUUUCUGAUUUCACUUAUUAUCGAGGAAAGAGGGGCAUAAACUUUGUCUUCAUAGCCCAAUGAACCUUAGUAGAUCUUGGCAACAUUUUCUAAGUCAAAUUAAUGUGGAAUAGAACAGAUUUUGUUAACUCAGUUAGAAUGUUAACUCAGAUUUUGCUCCUUGUGAUAUUUUCAAAUUUUCUUACUGGUUUUGGGAUGGAAUGAACUUUUGAUUGGAUCAACACUAUCAACUGUUAGUUAAUUUGGAGAAUUUUGAUUUCUGAUUUGUUUCUAUGUGCAUAGUUAAAAUAAAAUGUAAGAAUCAGAUGCUAUAUAGUUUAGAUCUUACUUCAGUAUAGAUUUUUACACUUCGAAUGCAUAAAUAUAGAUUUUUACACUCUGAAUGUUUGAAGGUGUCAUGCUUCUUUCUACACAGUUACUAUUUAAUGUUUUUAAUGUCUCCUCACUUAUUUUCCACGUCUAUUAUUUUGAAUUCCUCAGUCUAGGAUCAAUGUCAAGUCAUAGUUAAAAUGCAACAGACAGUUUUUAUUUCAAUGAUCAAAAUUUAAUUUUCAUGGAUUGCUUUGAUCCUUUUUCUAUAUGAUGUGUUUCUGAAAUGAUUAUCCUACGGAAUAUACUAUUAUAUAUUAAACAAACAUGAGUUUAAGCUAAAGAGAUUUUUAUCUUUUCAUUUCCCUAGUGGACUGAUAAAUGAGCUUGUUUAUGGAUCAAUAUGCACUGCAGUCUGUUUCAGCUUCACCUGCUCCUUUCUGUUCAAUUUUUGGUUUCAGGUAACUUUAAGUUCCUAUUGGAAUUUGAUGGUUGACCAUUAUGUUGGAAUCAUGAUUUAUAUGGAAAAGUUAUAUUUUAAAAAUCCCCUUUUUCUUAUUUAUGAGAGAUUGAGAUUUCAGAUGUGUUAUUGGUUGACCAAAAUAUUCAACCAAGCAAAAUGAGUUCAUAAAACAUUUGAAGAAAUUACAACUUUUUUCUCUAACAGCUUGCAUGGGGGCAUCCUUUUGGCAUUUUUUCAUAUUUUUUCCUACAUUGAUUUUCAAUUAUUGAACUGGUCUUGUCAAUGUUAAGUUUUAUAAACAUGCAACAACUGAGAUGGAUGCAUGCUAAAUUUAUGCAAUAAUUUUUGCUUUAUUUUAUUUGUCUAUCUAAAUUUUCAUAACAUCAACCAUGUAUGAUGAUAAAUGUGAUUUAGGGAAUUGGCCCACAAUACCUAAAAUAUUGUUCUUUUGCUAUACACGGUGUAAUCGGUCCUGUUUUAGCAUUUGUAUUUGUUUUACAGGUACUUUAACUCGCUGCAAAGUGAAUGCUUUUUUGCCUGUUUCCUAUCUCAUGUGAAUAUGGUCAUUUCAGCACCAAUUGGUAGUGGAAAAACAGUACUUUUUGAGCUUUGCAUUUUGAGGUUGCUCUCAAGGUUCAUCUUUGCAGAGGGAAGAUUUAUUCACUUGGAAGGGAACACUCAAAACAGUAGGCUUUCUACGAUUUUGUAUAUGGAAAAUUUUUUGAUGUUUAUUUGAAUACUGAAAAGUUCAGAAGAUUAUUGAUUUCGCA